AUGGGAGAUGCUGACCCGGUGACCAAUGACCUGUGUCUGACAUUGUCUUUCUGCCCAGGGGUGAGCUGCCUACAGCAGGUGGAGCAGAGUCCUCAGUCCCUGAAGAUCCAGCAGGGAGAGAACACCACAAUCAACUGCACUUACACUGAAACUAUUAACCAAGGGCUGCGGUGGUUCAGGCAGGAUCCUGGGAAAGGCCUCACCUCCCUAUUUUACUUGAGUUCUAUGGAGAAGCAGAAUGGAAGGUUCAGAUCCAUGAUCAACAGAAAGGAGCGCCAUAUCUCUCUGCACCUCACUGAGGCCCAACCUGAAGACCCAGCCACCUACCUCUGUGCUGUGGAUGCACAGUGA